rnacentral:rRNA from 1 species
CCUACGUGAGGCAGCAGUGAGGAAUAUUGGUCAAUGGGCGUAAGCCUUAACCAGCCAAGUCGCGUGAGGGAUGAAGGUUCUAUGGAUCGUAAACCUCUUUUAUAAGGGAAUAAAGUGCGGGACGUGUCCCGUUUGGUAUGUACCUUAUGAAUAAGGAUCGGCUAACUCCGUGCCAGCAGCCGCGGUAAUACGGAGGAUCCGAGCGUUAUCCGGAUUUAUGGGGUUUAAAGGGAGCGUAGGCGGCCUUUUAAGUCAGCGGGGAAAGUCGGUGGCUCAACCAUAGAAUUGCCGUUGAAACUGGGAGGCUUGAGUAUGUUUGAGGCAGGCGGAAUGCGUGGUGUAGCGGUGAAAUGCUUAGAUAUCACGCAGAACCCCGAUUGCGAAGGCAGCCUGCCAAGCCAUGACUGACGCUGAUGCACGAAAGCGUGGGGAUCAAACAGGAUUAGAUACCCCAGUAGUC